UUUGUGUACCGGCGGUAGUAUCAGGAAGUACCAUUUUCAAUCGUUUAAAAAAAAAGGAAGCCACGCUUGAUAACCGACACCAGAUAGAGAGCAAGUUCCAUGGCCGAUACAUUUCCUUUUCUGAUUCACCUUGAAAUUGUACCAGGGGAGCCUGAUAGAUAAUGAAAAGCAUGCCUGUAGUGGGGACUCCUCUGACAAAUUUGACGAGGACGAUCUCGUCAAAUUUACCUCGCAACUAAUUCACCUUGAAAUUGUACCAGGGGAGCCUGAUAGAUAAUGAAAAGCAUGCCUGUAGUGGGGACUCCUCUGACAAAUUUGACGAGGACGAUCUCGUAUUGACAUUUGCCAUGUUUGUGCUCUUAGGACUGGCUUUGUUUGACCCGCUCCUAAACCCUUUUAUGAGGCGACAAAUAUGAGAUGGUUCACUGUCAGGUGAAACAAUGGAUUCUGGAAUUGAUAAACGGGUAUCGAAAUAGAAUAUUCGACAACCUUCACAUGGAAGCUUCACUUUUCUUGUAAUUGUGUGAUAUGUUGCUGAAGCGUGGUUAUUGGGAGCCGCACCCCACA